UGCUAAUAGAUUGAAAUAGGACUGAAAUUACUUCGUUUUCUCCUAGAAGUCAGACUAUGUAGAGCUUUAUAGUCCAUAAACUAAGUAGGCAGUGAGACCUGUGUUCUUGAAGAGUGAGGUUGGCCCACUUGGGCGGGGCUCAGUGUAACAGCUCCGCUUUCCACUAGAUGGCGCUGCUAGCCCACUGGGGUGGACUGCUGCAGGGCUUGUAGGUGCGUGUGCGCAUGUGCAGGAAUGGUGAAAAUGUCGUCACCCAGUUGCCCAGUCUCUAGUAUGGGAACUCCUUUCCCUCAGAUCAACAAUUGUGCACCCGUCCUCUGUCUUCAGCUUUUGUCCACACCCCGCUUCUUCACUAUCCGUGACCAAGCCCCAGGUAGUACCCCUCUCCCGAGUCUUGUCUUAGAUGCGGCUAUUUUUCCCGGCCCCCUACUUCUGAAGGACUGUGACUUUGACCCGUUCCGCCCCUCUGUGGGAGGGUCUCACCAAGCAAUGGCCGAAUGCAGGCUGCACCUAGGAACACCUGCUGGACCCUGCUGCUGCCAUUGAGACUGCGGCCAGGUGCCAGCCUGCCCCAGAAAAAGUUCAUGAGUUAUUGUAGCAGCAGCUUUUCAGGGAUUAUGGAAAAUCACAACGCGCAUCUGGCACCAGGCUUCACACUUAACGACCUUGUUCCAGCACCAGCGAAUGUCGCCGUUUUCUGGGGUCUACUGGGACCAGGUGGCCACAGUCUCUACGAAAUGCCCUUCCAGCAGUGGAACUUCUUUUCCCCGUGUGGCUCGAGAACCUCCCGGACCCCACUCUGCUCCUGGGGAUUCGCCCUUCCCACCAGAGCACUGCCAGCUAUUCCAAGCUGACCCUCUGAUGGCUUCUGGCAUAGACUCACUCUCCCUGGAAAAGUGAAGGAAUUUUCACAGACCUUGUGCAUGACAUCCACAUCUUCACCAAGGCUCUCUUUUCUCUAUCUUCCUCCAUCUUCUCCAUGGCUGAUUGGAGAUUGGAAUAAAUCUAGUGUUCUAGUAAUGACCACUGGGCUCUUGAUUUCAAUUUCUUUAUCCCUGUACCAUGCUCCCUUCUCUACUCCAGUAAGUUUUUUUCUACCCAUAGACUUGGGAUCUGGUACACAAGGGAAGAACUCUGGGUGUAUGAGUAGGUCAGAAGAUCAAACAUCCUCACCUGUUUUCCUCUUCUCACUGUUUUGGUCCAGUCCCAGGUCUGGGUAUUGACCCAUGUUCCCAUUUCACUCAUUCUAAGUAGUGUCCUUCUCUGGUGUCCCCUCCUCUCUAGAACUGGAGUCCUGACCUUAACUAUGUAUUAUUUGACUAGCUGGACCAGUUCUCCUGAGAGUGGACCAUCUUUCUGCUUGGGGUUAGUGUAUAUUUACAGAUCUCGUGUUAAUCAACUAUUUCUUACUUGACAAUCAAGUAUGCAGCUGUCAUCUGGUUGCUUUCUUCUACCUUCUUAAUUAUAAAUCAUAAUGCUAACUAGUUCCAGAACCUUUGUUGGUGAAAGUUGGAUCGUAAAACACUGUGUCUUGACCACGUGGGCUUCUUCUCUGGAAUGAUCUGGGAAUAUGUUCCUCGGACUCCCUCCUUCUUGUCUGGGUCUCAGUCAUGUCCUUAUUCGACCCCCUUCCCUUUCUCUCCGCCUCCCUUCUGGCACACUGUAGGCUUUUAAUCAUCUGUUAAGUAAUGAAAAUAACUUGAGUUAAUAAAAUAUUAACACAGUAACAUUCAUUUAUUAUAAAAAUUUGGUUUUAACUAACACCAAAUUUUAACUUCCAGACUUAAGUGGAACACAAUUUUGAAUCCCUCUCGGAGAUUCAGAUUUACUUUCACUGAGGUUGUGUCAAUUUCAUGAACCUUUCUGAAGUCAGAAAUGUCUUUUCAGGAUGGAAGUGAGAACAAUGAUAGAUCUUGUGUGUAUUCCCCAUGAGGAUCAAUCAAUGCACAUUUCCACGCACUUUCUUCCAAUCAGAAGUGAGUGGUUUUUCCUAUUUUUUUUCCCUUUAGCUUAGGUUGGAAAGUGAUUUUUACUGGUAAAUUUAAUUUUACAUAACCUUGGUUCUAUUACUGUCUCUGAUCUAAUCACUUUUAAAAAGAGAAUUGAAAGGCACCUGGGUGGCUCAGUCAGUUAAGCAUCUGACUCUUGAUUUCAGCUCAGGUCAUGAUCUCAUGGUUCAUGGGUUUGAGCCCCACGUUGGGCUCUGCACUGAAAGCAUGGAGCUUUUUUGGGAUUCUCUCUCUCCCUCUCUCUGCCCCUCUUCCUCUCAUACUCUCUCUCAAAAAUAAAUAAAUAAAUAAACUAAAUUUAAAAAAGAUUUGAAACUACUUUAAUGACAGCCUACCCGAAUGCCUGACAUUUGACCAUUACCUGAUAAUAUUUUAAGACAGAGAUAUAAUUUCUUUACAUCCUACUCCCAAAGUUAUGUGCUUCAAAAGUACAGGUACCUUUGUUAUUCCUGGAAGUGAGAAAAGCUUUGAGAAUACUGUGCCUCUGCUCUCUGAUCCCCAGAGCCUUUAACAUAAUAAUGAUGCUUGCAUUUAUGUACCAUUUUAUGCAUUUAAAAAAUGCUUUCACAUACUCUUCUUGUAGCAGCCUAGCAAAAUAAAAGAGCAUGAAUUUUGGCGUUAGGCAACCUUAGACUUAAAGCCCAGUUAGCAUCCUACCAUCUGUGUGGUCUUGGUCAUGUUCCUUAAUCUGUCUGCGCUCAUUUUUUCAAUUCAAAAAAUGGGGGAGAUGCUACUUAUUUAGGGAAGUUGGGAGGAUUAAAUCACAUAAUAUAUGCACUGUUACUGGCACAUGUAGACUUUCAGUACCUCCUGGUUUGAUAGCAACCUGGGGAGAUUGAGAGGAGUUGAAAUAAUAACCAACAUAAAUAACUUGCAGGGACUUUUUAUAUGUGUAAUAGGUAAGUAUUUCCUUCUCACACAUCAGCACAAGAAAUGUUAUUUUGGUUUAAUUUUUUAAGUCAAAUAAAAUCUCUAUGCCCCUACUCUCUGUGGAGGUGAGAAAUUAAAUCUCAGUCAUAUGUUUUAGUGUCUUCUCACUCCUUGGAUUCCAAAUUUGGAGGGGGAAAAGAAGGAUGCUUGUGUGCAUAUAGAAAGAUGUGGGAGGUGGAAUGGCCCUCCCAGUUCUUAUAGCUCCUCUUUCUGCAAGAGCUACUUUCCAUUUUUCCCUUCAGAGAGCACUGAUGCUCUCUGUAAGCUCAGAAGUGCAUUCCCUAGAGAUCCUGUCCAUGGACCAUAGGCCUGGUCACUGAAGACCUUUGCUGAUCAGUGUUUGGCCUCCAUCAGUAUUCCAUAAGGAUAACCCAUCAGAGAUAAUCUCUGUAUGUAUGUUAUCUCCCCAAGUCCCUAGACCCUACCCUGUCUAGGACAACUUCUCUUUCACUGGUCUCUAGUACCAGCACCGGCCUUUUAUUCCUGUUCACUCCAAGGGUCUUCACCUAAAAUUAAGCCCAGGGUGAGGGGUUAUUCCUUAUGCACAGAAGAUUUUACUUUCAAAUAUCAGAUUCUCUGAGAUAGUGGAACUCAGAGCAGAGGGGCAAGUUUUGGUAACUUUUGGGAGAAAGGAAAGGAAACAGUAACACUCAUUGUUUUGAGCACCAUAUAUUAGUGAAAAUAAUAUGUAUGUUAAUACCAUAGUAGAUCAUUCUGCAAUGAUUUAGUUCUUUCACCACUUCGGUGAUGUAAGUUCUUCAGCCACCAUACCAUGCUCAAUAAGGAAAGAGGUAAAUCCUGGCUUCCCACCCCAUGAGGAUUUGCCUCUUCCUAGACUGCAAUACUGCUUCACUGUUAAGAGGGAAGAGGUCCUUCAGUGACUGGUAGUUCUGAUCAAAGUCUUCUGAGAGGGUGUUCACUUAUCCCUUGGCCUCAAGAUAUCUAACAUGAACUAUUUCUAUGUUUCUAAUAGAAACUAGCUCUUCCUUGAUGUCACUUACCUCCUUCAAUCCUUUUAAAUGGAGGAGGUGUUUUCUUCUAACUUUCUUACCUCAGAACCUAGAAGUGGGAUAAAUAUGUUCCCCUUUACCGCCAUUGUUUCCUAUUGAUUCCAAUGAAAUAAAGUCUAGAGAAUGUCAUCCA